UUGAACGCUGGCGGCAGGCCUAACACAUGCAAGUCGAGCGGUAGCACAGAGAGCUUGCUCUCGGGUGACGAGCGGCGGACGGGUGAGUAAUGUCUGGGAAACUGCCUGAUGGAGGGGGAUAACUACUGGAAACGGUAGCUAAUACCGCAUAAUGUCGCAAGACCAAAGUGGGGGACCUUCGGGCCUCAUGCCAUCAGAUGUGCCCAGAUGGGAUUAGCUAGUAGGUGGGGUAACGGCUCACCUAGGCGACGAUCCCUAGCUGGUCUGAGGGGAUGACCAGCCACACUGGAACUGAGACACGGUCCAGACUCCUACGGGAGGCAGCAGUGGGGAAUAUUGCACAAUGGGCGCAAGCCUGAUGCAGCCAUGCCGCGUGUGUGAAGAAGGCCUUCGGGUUGUAAAGCACUUUCAGCGGGGAGGAAGGCGUUAAGGUUAAUAACCUUGGCGAUUGACGUUACCCGCAGAAGAAGCACCGGCUAACUCCGUGCCAGCAGCCGCGGUAAUACGGAGGGUGCAAGCGUUAAUCGGAAUUACUGGGCGUAAAGCGCACGCAGGCGGUCUGUCAAGUCGGAUGUGAAAUCCCCGGGCUCAACCUGGGAACUGCAUUCGAAACUGGCAGGCUAGAGUCUUGUAGAGGGGGGUAGAAUUCCAGGUGUAGCGGUGAAAUGCGUAGAGAUCUGGAGGAAUACCGGUGGCGAAGGCGGCCCCCUGGACAAAGACUGACGCUCAGGUGCGAAAGCGUGGGGAGCAAACAGGAUUAGAUACCCUGGUAGUCCACGCCGUAAACGAUGUCGAUUUGGAGGUUGUGCCCUUGAGGCGUGGCUUCCGGAGCUAACGCGUUAAAUCGACCGCCUGGGGAGUACGGCCGCAAGGUUAAAACUCAAAUGAAUUGACGGGGGCCCGCACAAGCGGUGGAGCAUGUGGUUUAAUUCGAUGCAACGCGAAGAACCUUACCUGGUCUUGACAUCCACAGAACUUUCCAGAGAUGGAUUGGUGCCUUCGGGAACUGUGAGACAGGUGCUGCAUGGCUGUCGUCAGCUCGUGUUGUGAAAUGUUGGGUUAAGUCCCGCAACGAGCGCAACCCUUAUCCUUUGUUGCCAGCGGUCCGGCCGGGAACUCAAAGGAGACUGCCAGUGAUAAACUGGAGGAAGGUGGGGAUGACGUCAAGUCAUCAUGGCCCUUACGACCAGGGCUACACACGUGCUACAAUGGCAUAUACAAAGAGAAGCGACCUCGCGAGAGCAAGCGGACCUCAUAAAGUAUGUCGUAGUCCGGAUUGGAGUCUGCAACUCGACUCCAUGAAGUCGGAAUCGCUAGUAAUCGUAGAUCAGAAUGCUACGGUGAAUACGUUCCCGGGCCUUGUACACACCGCCCGUCACACCAUGGGAGUGGGUUGCAAAAGAAGUAGGUAGCUUAACCUUCGGGAGGGCGCUUACCACUUUGUGAUUCAUGACUGGGGUG
rnacentral:rRNA from 1 species